rnacentral:rRNA from 1 species
GACGAACGCUGGCGGCGUGCUUAACACAUGCAAGUCGAACGGAAAGGCCCUGCUUUUGUGGGGUGCUCGAGUGGCGAACGGGUGAGUAACACGUGAGUAACCUGCCCUUGACUUUGGGAUAACUUCAGGAAACUGGGGCUAAUACCGGAUAGGAGCUCCUGCUGCAUGGUGGGGGUUGGAAAGUUUCGGCGGUUGGGGAUGGACUCGCGGCUUAUCAGCUUGUUGGUGGGGUAGUGGCUUACCAAGGCUUUGACGGGUAGCCGGCCUGAGAGGGUGACCGGCCACAUUGGGACUGAGAUACGGACCAGUAUCCUACGGGAGGCAGCAGUGGGGAAUAUUGCACAAUGGGCGGAAGCCUGAUGCAGCAACGCCGCGUGCGGGAUGACGGCCUUCGGGUUGUAAACCGCUUUCGCCUGUGACGAAGCGUGAGUGACGGUAAUGGGUAAAGAAGCACCGGCUAACUACGUG